rnacentral:rRNA from 1 species
GAUGAACGCUGACGGCGUGCUUAACACAUGCAAGUCGAACGGAAAGGCUCCUGCUUGCAGGGGUACUCGAGUGGCGAACGGGUGAGUAACACGUGGGUGAUCUGCCCUGCACUUCGGGAUAAGCCUGGGAAACUGGGUCUAAUACCGGAUAGGACGAUGGUUUGGAUGCCAUUGUGGAAAGUUUUUCGGUGUGGGAUGAGCUCGCGGCCUAUCAGCUUGUUGGUGGGGUAAUGGCCUACCAAGGCGUCGACGGGUAGCCGGCCUGAAAGGGUGUACGGCCACAUUGGGACUGAGAUACGGCCCAGACUCCUACGGGAGGCAGCAGUGGGGAAUAUUGCACAAUGGGCGCAAGCCUGAUGCAGCGACGCCGCGUGGGGGAUGACGGCCUUCGGGUUGUAAACUCCUUUCGCUAGGGACGAAGCGCAAGUGACGGUACCUGGAGAAGAAGCACCGGCUAACUACGUG